rnacentral:miRNA from 1 species
GGUAUAAUUUGACUUAUAACACUCUGAUUGGUUGCUUUCAAAAAAGAAAGCAACCAAUCAGAGAGUUAUGAGUCAAAUUACACAG